rnacentral:lncRNA from 1 species
UUAAUUUUUAUAUAAUAUAAAUAAUUACAAUAAAAUAUUCAUCUUCCCUCAAACUUGAACAUCUUUUGAUAUAUGCUACGUGCUACUCCUCUUCAUCAUCUUCAGAUUUCUUUGAAUCACUCAUAGAUUCUUCUACUUCAUAUUCUUAGUCUAAAUAUUGAAAUAGGAAUUCUUCAAGGUCUUCUAUUUUGAACUAUUAAGAAAACAAGUACUUAGAAGACACAACACUUAGCAUCAGCAAGGUUGCACACAAAGAGAGUAUGGAGUAAAAUAUCUCUCACUUCCAACACCCAUUACUUAUAAGUGGUAGUUGCUACCCUAAAAGACAAUGUCCACUCUUUGAC